CAGAGAAUCCUCCCUCCUCUGUAUUUAUAUACAAUCAAAGCCGGACGCUCCUGGACCAACCCCAAGAAAACAUAAUUAAAACCGAAAAAUUAGGAACAAACCAGAAAGGAUCAAACAGCAUCAGGACUGGACACCAGCAGUCCUUGAAAGAAAAAGGCUGAAAUAUAUAAAUCCUUAAUACCCUUAGUGCAUUUGUGAAGUCAUGAAGAGUCCACAGCAGCCAUGUGGGUAGAUCUUUGUAGAUUUAUUACACUCAGUCCAAAAUAAAAAUAGAACAAAAAUACACUUACAAUAAACAAUUUACAGGUUGGCAUCAGGGUGUUUUAGCAAGCAUGGCAUCAAGCAGGGCUGGGUCAUAUCCAUAUGUUUCAUUUUUGUCAAAAAUAUGUUACACUAUAGUAAACAGCAGGGGUGUGCCAUCGGAAAGGGCAGGGGGUGGCAUGGCCCAUGAAAUCCGGCCACCCUAAAUCUUUGCCUUUGACCAAAUAUUUCAUGGCAAUUUUAUGCCAGCCUUUUGCUUUCAACACGUUGGUGGUGAGGGGUAAAUUCUUUUGUUGGUACUGAAAUUUCCCAUUGGGUAGAAAAUAAAUAUUUCUAAGCAUUAUUCUGUAUUGGAGGUUUAUCUUACCACUCUACUGGAUUGCUAUUUUUUAACUACACACAGGAAUUUAACUUAUUUACAUACGUUAGUGUAACAUAAACAGUAAGACUUCGAUGAAAUGCUGGUCUCAUUUCAACAGAGUCUCUUAUAGUGGCCAUGGCACAUUUGAACAUGCUGGUCUCAAAUAUUGGUCAGAUCCAGAUUAUGAUGAUCUGUUUAUAUGUUUAUCAGUGCUGCAAUUAAAAGAAAAAUUAUUGUGAGUGUUUUAGUUUCACCCACAGAAGACUGGCAUAAGAAAAAAUGUAAAGGCCGGUCAUUUUUGGCGACUGUCCCAAAUAGGCCUGUCACGAUAACAAAUUUUGCUGGACGAUAAUUGUGCUACAAAUUAUCGCCGAUAAACGAUAUUAUUGACACCAUUUUUAAAAUUAUAGAUAAUGAUAUUAUAUGGCAUAAUAAUGCGAGUACACCAUGUCAAAAGUGAUAAACUUUAAUUUCCACACGAGAACAACACUGGUUGUUUUCGUUGACUAAAAUAUUUCCCUUUUCUCCCACGACGAAGACGUACGAGCUAAACAUAAGUCGGAGAUGACUAAAAUGUGACGAGACGAAAGUGCGUUUACGUUGAUGGGACGAGACGAAAAUGACGAACAGAGUUGCAAAACUCAGUCAGUUAAACGCUAAACAUAUAGGAGCAGCUUCAGUCCGCUCUGACAGCUCUCAUCAGCCUGCUGUGCUCCUCCAACACACAGUCACACACACACGCACGCGCGCACGCACACGUGGAGUUUUGUGGUUGACGAAAACAAAACUGGUUUAAAGCCGAAAUAUUCCCACACUUGGGCUGUUGCGUUCGGUUUAGACACCAAAGCUGUCGUGUUCAUUCUGUUAGCUUGCUUUUCACUCACGACGCUCACUUGCAGCACUGUAUCCAAAAGUCUGUCUGUGUGCCUGUGCGCGCCUACGUGUACCUGUGCGCGCCAGCCCCCUCGUGACAAAGACACUGAAUGACUGACAGGAGGGUUCACUAACUCCGUUCAUUCCGCUAUAGAGCCAACGCCCCCAGGUGCCGAGAACAAUGCGCAGAGUGAGACCUCUUCUCUCAUCCAGCGUGUUUGGUAGCGAGAGAGGAGGAAAACAAACGCACGUCAAUUAUCGAGGCUGGCAAAGUUAUCGACCUCGUUUUUAUUUAUCGAGCGAUAAGGCGAUUUAUUGAUUAUCGCGACAGGCCUAGUCCCAAACGAAGGUUUGUCCACAUGGAACAGAUAGAAGUCUGGGCCAUUAAUUGAAGAUUUUCCGUACUUUCACUCCUGGGCACAACAUGUGCCUCAUGACCGUCCACCCAGCUAGGGAAGUCUGGACAUGCCCUGCUUGGUCAAUUUAUUUAAAGGUUCGUUAAACCAGCAACCAACAAAAAAUUAAUAAUAAAAAAAUUUAAAAAAGAAAGAAAGAAAAGAGAAAGAAAAAAAAAUUAUUUCACGUCAGCAAAUUUUCCAAACAUUUUGGGAUUUGCGAUUUUUGACCACUGAUGUUUCUUGCCCUUGUUUUUGUUUCAGGAACACUGAAUUUGAAUCUGAAAAUACCCAUCAUAUAAGACUUUAAUGUUAAACCAGCAGUGCAGUAAGUUCAUUUCUGGUCAGUCUGUUAAUCAACCAUAAAUGCAUUGUGAUUUUGCGUAGGUGUGGGAUAUUGUUACCGAGUGACAUCUGCGUUUUUAACUGAUAAAAUGAUCCCACGUUGAUGACAUACUCUUGUCAUCAGACUAAAGAUUAAAGCAGGACUAAGAGAUACUCUGGGAUGACUAAAUGUUGUGUAGGAAAGCAGAGACAGUUGACUCUGAUGAAUUCCUUUUUAAUUAAAGGACCUAUCAUAUCAGAGAUAUAUCAUAAUAGUCCAGUUGAAUUCUGCUGAAGCACCUCUGUCUCAUCCAAACAGGUGCCCAUGUGUCAGCACCAAGGCCGGCCUUUAUCAGCUCUUUACAGUAAACCACAGCCUCUUCUUGCUGUCACACCCUCACAGCUGUGGCUGGACCGUAAACACUCAUCAGAAAACAUUUUCACAUAUCUGUAGUGGUUACUGUCUGUUGUCAUACCCCUGUGUCUCAUGCUGAGGCGAGAUGAGUAAAAGUUGACUGGAUGACUCGGAGGUACGUGCACAAUGAUGGGAAAACACCGAAAGGACAGCAAUUAGCACAGACUUUGACCUAAAAUGAUGUGGGCUGUGAGGGGAAUAACACUUUUUUGCAACUCACUCAAUUUCAGGAAGAUCACUUGUUCAGUUUUUAAGUAGGACUUUGUCUACAGCAUUGCAUGUCAACAGCAAAGUGUCAAAGACGUCUCAAAAGCAAUGAGUUUUGUGGUUUAAUGAGCCUCUGGUAAGCACUUCUGUGGCUUUGGGUUUUAUAGCAUAAAGAAAAACAAUGUGUAAAGAAACAAGUUUGAUUCCUUGCCUUAGUAUGCCUUUAAACUCUUAUUGCUUCCCUCAGCCGCCUGUGAGUGUGCCUAAUAUAAACACUCUCUGAUGACAAGAGGGCCCUCCAUCAUUAACAGAGACGCAGUUCUGCUGCAGUGACUCGAUCCAUCCAGACAAGAACGUCAGAAUUCCUGGAAGACAGAAGGUUUUUUUUUUUUUGUUUUUCUGUGCUGCCUUGAGGUUGAAGCAGAGCACACACACACACACACAUUCCACACAGUGGGAUUAACGACCUCAGAUAGCUCAACACCACCGACGUGAGCUGGCUUUGACUGAUUGUUGUGGUCGUCAGUGAUGGAGCUGCUCAUGAGGUGAUGUGGAAAGAUAACAGUGGUAUUUCACGUACCAAGCAUCUAAUUUUUUACAGUAUAACAAAGUAGCAACAACUGCAGCGCAGGUUAAAGAAUAAUUCAACUCUAUUUGAAUGAACAAAAGAAAGAGUAAGUCCAAACUGUGCAGCUGCACAGCGUGAUCGAUUGGUUAUCUAUCUGUUGAGGUGAUAAGUGAUCACAGGGGUCUAACAGUGAUCAGGCUUUCAGUUAGAUAAGUUGUAAGCAUACACACACAAAACACAAAACACACACACACACACACACACACACACACACACACACAAGAAUGCAACCGAAACUUUAGGCACUGCUCAUUAAUAUAGUGGAGGAAAAUCACAUCAAAACAUUUGGCAGAUGAAGCUGCAAAAUGCUGACAGCUAAUGAAAGUGUACAGCUCAUCUGUUCACUACCAUGUCCUCGCACACUGAAAUCACCUGAUACAUACAUAAGUGCUAUAUCUAGUCUAAAUUUAACUCUGGUUCUGGUUUCAAACAAGUCCUAUGAAUAAAACCUGGUCCUCUAUUGGCCAGUAGCUACUUACUCAUGUUUCCGUCUGCCGUUUGGGCCCAUAUCAUGGAGGUCCUUUUAAGGAGGCAAAAUGAUGGAAAUCAAUGAGGACUUGGCUUGAAAUGAGAAGGAUAAACCUAAUAAGUAAAUAUUAUGAGAUAUGAAAUCAUGAUAAUGAAACAAAGACUCUCAUUGAGGGGAUAAAGAGACAAAUUUAUAAGCUUGUAUGUUAUGAUUACAAGAUAAACUCAAGAAAUCUAUGUGAUUAAAAGACAUUAUUGUAAGAUCAGAAGGCAGUAUUUAUGAAAUUGACAUUAAAAUGAUUAGAAAAUCAUAAUAAAGGCGUACAUUUUCAAAAUGUAUCUGAAAAAUAGAGUCAUACUAAUAAGAUAAAAAGUCAAAUUGGAUUACUGGAAAUCAAAAUGAUGAGACCAUGAGUCAUUAUUAUUACACGAAAUGUCAAAUUUAUAGUAUUUAUGGCUCCUGUACCAGGUUUAUGAUAUUUAUAGAUUCAAAUUCAUAUUGGUGCCUUUUUACGAGCAAACAAAAACAUCGUCAAUAAAACUGCUGAUUUUAAUACUGUAAUUAUGAAACUAGUGUGAGGGAGAUGGUGUCCGCCAAGCAGUCGCUCACAGUUAAAAAAUAUUCACUAAAUGAUUAAUUUGACGGUCAAAAGUUAGUUUGAUAAGAUUUUCUGUGAGAUGACACUGUUUAUGCUUAUUGAGGACAAAGUAAGCAAAGACUGCUUUGUCCACAAGGGGUGCUACACUUGACAGAAUCUGACAUUUCCUCAUGGGCGCUGUCAAGUCAAUGUUAUGAUACAGGAAAUCAUAAUCGUACAAUAGAGAGAAUAAUUUAGGGUAUUCAAAUGAAUAAUGAUGAGGAAAAAAAGGUCAUAGUCAAGAGAACAAAAAUCUAUUUAUGGCAUAGGAAGUCAAAAACAUGCUUUCAAAAGUCAUACUGAUAGGAUAAAAAGUUAAAUUUAUUACGAUAUAAUAUGACAACCUCACAAUCGAAACUUUUCAUAAUAUUGUUGUUGACCUCUUAUCACAUUAUUCUGGCCUUCUUUCUUAUAAUUUCAUAUUUUUACCCUUAUAUAUCCUAUCUCAAAUUUAACUCAGGCUCAUUAUUUUACAAGAUCAAAGUAAAGGGCUUCAGCAGAGUGUGCAGAAAGUAGCUGCCAAAUCUCUGUUAUCGUCUCUUUUGAAUCAUGCACAUGAGCUGAAGACAGUUCUAGGUACACAGUGUCCGGGUACGAUAAACCCAAACUCAAAUUGGAAGCCAGUGUAGAGGCUUACAGCAUGUAGCAAUCAGCUACUUCACUGUUGUAUAACCAGCAACUUCCAUUUUGUUCAGUGUCAAGCCUAUGUUAGGAAGAUCAUUUAAUUACAUUUUUACCAAAUCAUGACUUUUUAUCUCAUGAGAAGGACUGUCUUCCUUAAUAUCUCUCAUGAGAAUGACCUCACAUAUAGGAUUACAUUUUUAUUAAGGUCAUGUCUUUUUUUUUUCUUUUAAAAGGCUGUCAAUACAAACUAUCAACAUGUGUAAGUGUGACCCAUGUACCCAGAUGGUGUUUAUUUAUUUAUUUAUUUUUUUUUUUAGAAGUUAUUAAAAGGGCAACAACUGGGCCUUAACUAACCAAUUAUUUCCCAAGUAUUUACCAAUAAAAAAUUAGGGGAAAAAAAGAAAACCUCCAACAUAACUUCCCCAUGCCAAAGGAAAACAGCAGAUUCUUGCCUUUGGAUUUCCAAACUCAUUGCAUGUCUUGCAUUAAUCCAAAAUUAGAAUUUUUUUCUCAAAAACUGAUAAUCAGAAAAUUUAUAGUCUGACUUGCUAGUUCAUUAACUUUUUUCUUGCUGUAAGCUCUUUUUAUUAAAAGAAAAUACAGGAGUAGAUAUGCCAUUAGGACAGUACAAAGUGUCCUAAAUCUGAUGUAUAACAAGAGUUCAAUGAUUACAGCAAUGGCUUAUUUCUAACAUAAUGCAAUAUCAGUAUUUGACAUCAGCACAGUCCUGAAUUUGCUGUAAUCCCAGAGUUUUCAUACUCUCAGCUGAUGUAAAUUUAAAUGGGGUAAUAUACGUAGCAUGACACAUUGGCAGAAAGGUGAGAAUUCUGUACUGUGAAUACAUCUCUACAGCCUGGACAAUCAGAAAAGCCUCCAGACAAGCCUGAAUCAUGACCUAAACCACUGUGGACAAUGGUCUCACCUCAGUGAAUACCUCCACUUUGUUUGUUUAUUUGUUUCUUGUAGCUGUGUGUGCAAAUGAGUAUGGGGAGGGUGGGUCAGCUUAUAAGUAAUUAACAAGCAAUUUACUCCACCCAGGGAAGCGGGAAAGUUACUCAUGCGAUGCUCCCUGACAAGGUCACUGGCUGAUAGAUGAGCCUGAGCGAGGGGAUUUUUCAGAGAUUGUGAAGGCAGGCAGAACUGUGGGAACCAGACAAUUAGUGGGUGGAAGGUGGGCAGCCAUGUUGGAUGAUGACCAUGAGACUAGCUCACACAGAUACUCACUGCUUGGCCGGCUGACAGGGAGAAAACAGACACCUGGGCUGGACGAACUCUUACCACACAGUCAUUUAUCUUUGAGGGGGCUGAGCAGGCAGUUUGCCAACCGUUUAGGAAGAGCAUGUGCUGUUUUAAAUCAAACAAACAUGGAGGAGGUCAAUCUAGACAUAUAGGCAACAUAAAUAUUUUAAACACAUAUAAACAUACGAUUAUAUUCACUUUGAAUACUUUUGUAUUAUUAUAAUUACAUAUUUCCAAGCUCUGGCCUAAUGGUUUUGUAAAUAAGAAACGAUGGAUGAAAAACUAAACACAUUUUUUUCAUCUA